AUCUAUUUUGUAUAUUUUAUUUUAAUUACUUUUAUAGGCUAGUGCUGAGUGCAUGCCUGUCUCCCGCCAGCUCUUUUACUUUAGAAGUUAGUUUGUACGAGUCAUGACCUGGCUCUAUAAAUAGAAUGGAUGAUGUAGUGUCUUGUCCCUUUUUCCGGUGUUGACCGCUGGUCAGUGCUUGAUUAGCUGGUCUGUGUGACCAAGCAGUGAUUUAGAAAGUUUGUAUUUAGUGUUGUUCUGUGUGGACUGCCUGCUAUAAUUCCUGUUCUGCCUGUCAUCUGCUUUUCUGCCGCUAGUAGCUUACUGUUUAGUGUUGGAGUAAUUUAGAUUAUACUUUCCCCUUCACUGACACACAAGACAGACAGGUGAACGCAUCCAUGUCCAGACCAUAGAAUACUGUCGAGCAGUCAAGAAGAUAUGGAUUUGAAGAGGAAGUGAUGCCUUCUUAUCCCUAAGAGUUUAUCAACAGAAUGAAUACCACAAAAGUCACUUGUUACAUCAGACACUCCCCCUCUAAAACUUCCAUACUAGAAUUUGUCCAGUGCCUGUGAUGCUCUGAGCUGAAGGAGAAUGUUAGUGCUUCAUAAUAUCUACCAGUAUCUUGCUGUUAGCUUGAAGCUCAUGAAUAUUAUGUAGUCCUAGCUAUGAUGAUACUGAAACUACAAUUUGUGAGAACUUAAGCAUUAUAGCUAUAUCUAAUAUUAAUAGUUUGCGCGAAGUUAUUUGAAAAUUAUUUUUAAUUAUAUUAAAUAUAGUUACACAACUUGGAAAACUUGUUAGAUUCUCAAUUAUUUAGCAUUAUUUUUUUUUUUACAAAUUUAAAUGUAAUCUGUAUCAAGCUUUUAAAAACUAUACUGUCUGCUUUAAAUAACUUACUUACUUGCUUUAAAUAACAUAUGACUGAAAACUUAUUGCAUUGCUCAGUCAAGCUAAAGAAACAGUCCUGUAUUAUAGAUCUCAGAUUACCUCUACUAGCUAUGUCAAUGUAGCAAAGAUAAACAAAUAUUAAUUAUAC